rnacentral:rRNA from 1 species
GCGGCGGUAAUACGGAGGGGGUUAGCGUUGUUCGGAAUUACUGGGCGUAAAGCGCACGUAGGCGGAUCAGAAAGUAUGAGGUGAAAUCCCGGGGCUCAACCCCGGAACUGCCUUGUAAACUCCUGGUCUUGAGUUCGAGAGAGGUGAGUGGAAUUCCGAGUGUAGAGGUGAAAUUCGUAGAUAUUCGGAGGAACACCAGUGGCGAAGGCAGAUUACUAAUAAUCAACUGACACUGAUGGACGAAAGCGUGGGUAGCGAACAGGAUUAGAUACCCUGGUAGUCCACGCCGUAAACGAUGGUUACUAGCUGUUUGGACCUUGUGUCUGAGUGGCUAAGCGAAAGUGAUAAGUAACCCACCUGGGGAGUACGUUCGCAAGAAUGAAACUCAAAGGAAUUGACGGGGGCCCGCACAAGCGGUGGAGCAUGUGGUUUAAUUCGAUGAUACGCGAGGAACCUUACCAGGGCUUAAAUGUAAGUUGCAUUAGUUAGAGAUAGCUAUUUCUUCGGACCACUUACAAGGUGCUGCAUGGUU